rnacentral:miRNA from 1 species
UGUGUGUGUGUGUGUGUGUGUGUGUGUGUAUAUAUAUAUAUAUAUGUGUGUGUGUGUGUGUAUAUAUAUAUAUAUAUACACACACACACACACACACACACACACACA